rnacentral:rRNA from 1 species
GUAGGUGGCAAGCGUUGUCCGGAAUUAUUGGGCGUAAAGCGCGCGCAGGCGGUUCUUUAAGUCUGAUGUGAAAGCCCACGGCUCAACCGUGGAGGGUCAUUGGAAACUGGAGAACUUGAGUACAGAAGAGGAAAGCGGAAUUCCACGUGUAGCGGUGAAAUGCGUAGAGAUGUGGAGGAACACCAGUGGCGAAGGCGGCUUUCUGGUCUGUAACUGACGCUGAGGCGCGAAAACGUGGGGAGCAAACAGGGAUUAGAUACCCUGGUAGUCCACGCCGUAAACGGUGAGUGCUAAGUGUUAGGGGGUUUCCCGCCCCUUAGUGCUGCAGCUAACGCAUUAAGCACUCCGCCUGGGGAUACGGCCGCAAGGCUG